rnacentral:rRNA from 1 species
AGGACGAACGCUGGCGGCGUGCUUAAUACAUGCAAGUCAACUUGACUUUAGAUAGCAAUAUCGAAAAGUAGGGUGGCGCACGGGUGCGUAACGCGUAGGUAAUCUGCCCUGAGGUCUGACAUAACCCGUCGAAAGGCGGGCUAACAUCAGAUGAUAUAUAAUCACGACAUCGUGGAAAUAUCAAAUCUUCGGAGCCUUGGGAUGAGCCUGCGUCUGAUUAGGUAGUUGGCGGAGUAAUAGCCCACCAAGCCUACGAUCAGUAGCUGGUCUGAGAGGAUGAUCAGCCACACUGGAACUGAGACACGGUCCAGACUCCUACGGGAGGCAGCAGUAAGGAAUAUUGCUCAAUGGGGGAAACCCUGAAGCAGCAACGCCGCGUGAAGGAUGAAAUACUUUGUAUGUAAACUUCUGUAAGAUGGGAAAAAUAUUCUCCUCGGGAGAAUUGAUUGUACCAUCAGAGUAAGCCCCGGCUAACUACGUG